CAAGUCGAACGCGAAAACCCCGCCAAGGGGUUAGUAGAGUGGCAAACGGGUGAGUAACACGUGAGUGACCUACCUUCGAAUGGGGGAUAACGUCCCGAAAGGGACGCUAACACCGCAUAACAUCCUGCUUUUGAACAAGUGGAGAUCAAAGCCGGGGAUCGCAAGACCUGGCGUUUGAAGAGGGGCCCGCGUCUGAUUAGCUAGUUGGUGAGGUAACGGCUCACCAAGGCGACGAUCAGUAUCCGGCCUGAGAGGGCGGACGGACACACUGGGACUGAGACACGGCCCAGACUCCUACGGGAGGCAGCAGUGGGGAAUUGUUCGCAAUGGGCGCAAGCCUGACGACGCAACGCCGCGUGGAGGAUGAAGGUCUUCGGAUUGUAAACUCCUGUUGCCCGGGACGAAACGUCUCGACCUAACACGUCGAGAUCUGACGGUACCGGGUGAGGAAGCCCCGGCUAACUCUGUGCCAGCAGCCGCGGUAAUACAGAGGGGGCAAGCGUUGUUCGGAAUUACUGGGCGUAAAGGGCGCGUAGGCGGCCUUCUAAGUCGAACGUGAAAUCCCCGGGCUCAACCCGGGAACUGCGUCCGAUACUGGAGGGCUUGAAUCCGGGAGAGGGAUGCGGAAUUCCAGGUGUAGCGGUGAAAUGCGUAGAUAUCUGGAGGAACACCGGUGGCGAAGGCGGCAUCCUGGACCGGCAUUGACGCUGAGGCGCGAAAGCCAGGGGAGCAAACGGGAUUAGAUACCCCGGUAGUCCUGGCCCUAAACGAUGAAUGCUUGGUGUGGCGGGUAUCGAUCCCUGCCGUGCCGAAGCUAACGCAUUAAGCAUUCCGCCUGGGGAG
rnacentral:rRNA from 1 species